rnacentral:rRNA from 1 species
GCCCCCUGAAUGUUUUUAAGGGCCGCAGUAUCCUAACUGUGCUAAGGUAGCGUAAUCAUUUGUCAUUUAAUUAAUGACCUGUAUGAAGGGCUUAACGAGAGAACAACUAUCUAUUAUUUAAUAAAUGAAAUUAACCUGUUAGUUAAAAGGCUAACAUAAUCUAAAAAGACGAGAAGACCCUAAGAGCUUAGUAGAAUAUUUUGAUAAUAGAAACUUAACCUCUCAUUUUCAGAAUUUUUUACUUAAUUGGGGUGAUUAAAAGAUAAAUAAAACUCUUUUUAAAAUAACACUUUUUGUAAGUUAAAGUGAUCCGGAAUUUCGAUUAUAAGAAAAAGUUACCUUAGGGAUAACAGCGUAAUGCUUAUUGAGAGCCCAUAUCGACAUAAGUGUUUGCGACCUCGAUGUUGGACUAAAAUUAAAUCAUGGUGCAGAAGUCAUGAAUAUUAGGUCUGUUCGA